UCUGGUGCCGAUGCGCUUAGGGGAGACACCCGUUCCCAUCCCGAACACGAUGGUUAAGACUUAAGCGGCCGAUGGUACUAUGCUGGAGACGGCAUGGGAGAGCAGGUGGGUGCCAGAU
rnacentral:rRNA from 13 species